rnacentral:rRNA from 1 species
GUGCCAGCAGCCGCGGUAAUACGUAGGUCCCGAGCGUUGUCCGGAUUUAUUGGGCGUAAAGCGAGCGCAGGCGGUUAGAUAAGUCUGAAGUUAAAGGCUGUGGCUUAACCAUAGUACGCUUUGGAAACUGUUUAACUUGAGUGCAAGAGGGGAGAGUGGAAUUCCAUGUGUAGCGGUGAAAUGCGUAGAUAUAUGGAGGAACACCGGUGGCGAAAGCGGCUCUCUGGCUUGUAACUGACGCUGAGGCUGAAGCGUGGGGAGCAA